GACGAACGCUGGCGGCGUGCUUAACACAUGCAAGUCGAGCGGUAAGGCCCUUUCGGGGGUACACGAGCGGCGAACGGGUGAGUAACACGUGGGUGACCUGCCCUCAGCUCUGGGAUAAGCCUGGGAAACCGGGUCUAAUACCGGAUAUGACUCCAUGGCGCAUGUUGUGGGGUGGAAAGCCUUGUGCGGCUGAGGAUGGGCCCGCGGCCUAUCAGCUUGUUGGUGGGGUGAUGGCCUACCAAGGCGACGACGGGUAGCCGGCCUGAGAGGGCGACCGGCCACACUGGGGACUGAGACACGGCCCAGACUCCUACGGGAGGCAGCAGUGGGGAAUCUUGCGCAAUGGGCGAAAGCCGGACGCAGCGACGCCGCGUGAGGGAUGACGGCC
rnacentral:rRNA from 1 species